rnacentral:rRNA from 1 species
CUGCCUGGUAGUGGGGGACGAACGUUUCGAAAGGAACGCUAAUACCGCAUACGUCCUACGGAGAAAGCAGGGACCUUCGGGCCUUGCGCUAUCAGAUGAGCCUAGGUCGGAUUAGCUAGUUGGUGAGGUAAUGGCUCACCAAGGCGACGAUCCGUAACUGGUCUGAGAGGAUGAUCAGUCACACUGGAACUGAGACACGGUCCAGACUCCUACCGGGAGGCAGCAGGG